rnacentral:rRNA from 1 species
AGCAGCCGCGGUAAUUCCAGCUCCAAUAGCGUAUAUUAAAGUUGUUGCAGUUAAAAAGCUCGUAGUUGAAUUUUGGGUUUGGCCGAUUGGUCCGUUCUUGUAACGAGUACUGGUCGGUUGGGCCUCACCGCCUGGUGAUACGUAAUGUCCUUUAUUGGGUGUUGCGAGUAGCCAGGACCUUUACCUUGAAAAAAUUAGAGUGUUUAAAGCAGGCUUAUGCCGGAAUACAUUAGCAUGGAAUAAUAGAAUAGGACGAUGAUUCUAUUUUGUUGGUUUCUAGGAGCAUCGUAAUGAUUAAUAGGGAUAGUUGGGGGCAUUAGUAUUCAAUUGUCAGAGGUGAAAUUCUUGGAUUUAUUGAAGACUAACUACUGCGAAAGCAUUUGCCAAGGAUGUUUUCAUUAAUCAAGAACGAAAGUUAGGGGAUCGAAGACGAUCAGAUACCGUCGUAGUCUUAACCAUAAACUAUGCCGACUAGGGAUCGGGCGAUGUUGUUUCAAUGACUCGCUCGGCACCUUAUGGG